UCUGGUAUAGCUCAGUGGAAGAGCGCCCGGCUCGCUUUCCGGGUGGACGCCGGUUCGAGCCCGGCUGCCAGAG
rnacentral:tRNA from 1 species